UACGUAGGGACCAAGCGUUGUCCGGAAUCAUUGGGCGUAAAGCGCGCGUAGGUGGCUUCGUAAGUCCGUUGUGAAAGUCAAAGGCUCAACCUUUGAAAGCCGAUGGAUACUGCGGAGCUAGAGUACGGAAGAGGCGAGUGGAAUUCCUGGUGUAGCGGUGGAAUGCGCAGAUAUCAGGAGGAACACCGAUGGCGAAGGCAGGUCUCUGGGCAAUAACUGACGCUGAGGAGCGAAAGCGUGGGGAGCGAACAGG
rnacentral:rRNA from 1 species